CCUACGGGUGGCAGCAGUGGGGAAUAUUGCUCAAUGGGGGGAACCCUGAAGCAGCAACGCCGCGUGCAGGAUGAAGGUUUUCGGUUUGUAAACCUCUUUUGUUAGGGAAGAAAAUGACGGUACCUGACUAAUAAGCACCGGCUAACUCCGUGCCAGCAGCCGCGGUAAUACGGAGGGUGCAAGCGUUAUACGGAAUUACUGGGCGUAAAGGGCGCGUAGGCGGGAUAGCAAGUCUGAAGUGAAAUCCUAUGGCCUAACCAUAGAACUGCAUUGGAAACUGUCAUGCUAGAGUGCGGGAGAGGUAGGUGGAAUUCGUGGUGUAGCGGUGAAAUGCGUAGAGAUCACGAGGAACACCAAUUGCGAAGGCGGCAUACGGGAGCGUAACUGACGCUGAGGCGCGAAAGCGUGGGGAGCAAACAGGAUUAGAUACCCGAGUAGUC
rnacentral:rRNA from 1 species